rnacentral:rRNA from 1 species
UACAGAGGGUGCGAGCGUUAAUCGGAAUUACUGGGCGUAAAGCGUGCGUAGACGGUUAUUUAAGUCGGGUGUGAAAGCCCCGGGCUCAACCUGGGAAUUGCAUUCGAGACUGAAUAGCUAGGGUACGGUAGAGGGAAGCGGAAUUUCCGGUGUAGCGGUGAAAUGCGUAGAUAUCGGAAGGAACAUCAGUGGCGAAAGCGGCUUCCUGGGCCAGUACCGACGUUCAGGCACGAAAGCGUGGGGAGCAAACAGG